rnacentral:rRNA from 1 species
AGAGCGAACGCUGGCGGCAGGCCUAACACAUGCAAGUCGAGCGCCCCGCAAGGGGAGCGGCAGACGGGAGAGUAACACGUGGGAACGUACCCUUUGGUUCGGAACAACACAGGGAAACUUGUGCUAAUACCGGAUAAGCCCUUACGGGGAAAGAUUUAUCGCCAAAGGAUCGGCCCGCGUCUGAUUAGCUUGUUGGUGAGGUAACGGCUCACCAAGGCUACGAUCAGUAGCUGGUCUGAGAGGAUGAUCAGCCUCACUGGGACUGAGACACGGCCCAGACUCCUACGGGAGGCAGCAGUGGGGAAUAUUGGACAAUGGGCGCAAGCCUGAUCCAGCCAUGCCGCGUGGAUGAUGAAGGCCCUAGGGUUGUAAAGUCCUUUCGACGGGAAGAGUAAUGACGGUACCCGUAGAAGAAGCCCCGGCUAACUUCGUGCCAGCAGCCGC